rnacentral:rRNA from 1 species
GACGGGGGAUGCAAGUGUUAUCCGGAAUCACUGGGCGUAAAGCGUCUGCAGGUGGUUUCCUAAGUCCACUGUUAAACCUUGAGGCUCAACCUCAAAUCUGCAUUGGAAACUAGGAGACUUGAGUAUAGUAGGGGUAGAGGGAAUUUCCAGUGGAGCGGUGAAAUGCGUAGAUAUUGGAAAGAACACCGAUGGCGAAGGCACUCUACUGGGCUAUUACUGACACUCAGAGACGAAAGCUAGGGGAGCAAACAGG